CUUUCUCUAUAAAUAUCACCGCCUGGAGCACACUGGAAACGCCCACAUCUCUCUACACAUGCAACCAUUGUAAACCCAAAAAAUAUUCCCAAGUUGGCCACCGAAACCAUUGGAAAGAAGAGAGCGAGUUGCAGCAGGAGAAAAAUGUGGCUGGUGUGUGUGUGCGAGGACCAAGAGAAGCAGCUGGGGAAGCAACAAGCACCAGGGUCCUNNN
rnacentral:lncRNA from 1 species